CCUACGGGUGGCAGCAGUGAGGAAUAUUGGUCAAUGGACGAGAGUCUGAACCAGCCAAGUAGCGUGAAGGAUGACUGCCCUAUGGGUUGUAAACUUCUUUUAUAUGGGAAUAAAACGUUCCACGUGUGGGAUUUUGUAUGUACCAUAUGAAUAAGGAUCGGCUAACUCCGUGCCAGCAGCCGCGGUAAUACGGAGGAUCCGAGCGUUAUCCGGUUUUAUUGGGUUUAAAGGGAGCGUAGGUGGAUUGUUAAGUCAGUUGUGAAAGUUUGCGGCUCAACCGUAAAAUUGCAGUUGAAACUGGCAGUCUUGAGUACAGUAGAGGUGGGCGGAAUUCGUGGUGUAGCGGUGAAAUGCUUAGAUAUCACGAAGAACUCCGAUUGCGAAGGCAGUUCACUGGACUGCAACUGACACUGAGGCUCGAAAGUGUGGGUAUCAAACAGGAUUAGAUACCCUUGUAGUC
rnacentral:rRNA from 1 species